GAUGUAUGCAUCUAAUUUGUUGUUCAUACAUUGAGGAUUGAGCGGUUGCAGAAGUUGCAGUAUUUGAUCAUGGUUCAUACACUCAGGAAUUGGGUUCGGG